GACGAACGCUGGCGGCGUGCUUAACACAUGCAAGUCGAACGGAAAGGCCCUGCGUUUGCUGGUUGCUCGAUUGGCGAACGGGUGUGUAACACGUGAGUAACCUGCCCUUAUCUUUGUGAUAUCUUUAGGGAACUGGGGCUAAUACCCGGUAUGAUCUCUUGCUGCAUGGUGGUGGUUGGAAAGUUUCGGCUGUUGUGGAUGGACUCGCGGCUUAUGAGCUUGUUGGUGGGGUAGUGGCUGACCAAGGCUUUGACGGGUAGCCUGCAUGAGAGGGUUACCGGCCACAUUGGGACUGAGAUACGGACCAGAAUCCUACGGGAGGCAGCAGUGGGGAAUAUUGCACAAUGGGCGGAAGCCUGAUGCAGCAACGCCGCGUGCGGGAUGACGGCCUUCGGGUUGUAAACAGCUUUCGCAUGUGACGAAGAGUGAGUGACGGUAAUGGGUAAAGAAGCACCGGCUAACUACGUG
rnacentral:rRNA from 1 species